CCCUUAGAUGUUCUGGGCUGCACGCGCGCUACACUGGUGCGUUCAGCGAGUUUAGCACCUUAACAGAUAUGUUUGGGUAAUCUUCUGAAAACGCACCGUGAUGGGGAUCGAUUAUUGUAUUUAUUAAUCGUCAACGAGGAAUUCCUAGUAAGUGUGAAUCAUCAGUUCGCGCUGAUUACGUCCCUGCCCUUUGUACACACCGCCCGUCGCUGCUACCGAUUGAGUGGUCCGGUGAAUUAUUCGGACCGGUGGACUGUGGGGAAACCCGCGGCCUGCUGGGAAGUCUUGUGAACCUUAUCACUUAGAGGAAGCAGAAGUCGUAACA
rnacentral:rRNA from 1 species